UACGAAGGGGGCUAGCGUUGUUCGGAAUUACUGGGCGUAAAGCGCGCGCAGGCGGUCUUCCAAGUCAGUGGUGAAAGCCCGGAGCUCAACUCCGGAACUGCCAUUGAAACUGUUAGACUUGAGGAUGAGAGAGGUGAGUGGAAUUCCCAGUGUAGAGGUGAAAUUCGUAGAUAUUGGGAAGAACACCAGUGGCGAAGGCGGCUCACUGGCCCGUUACCGACGCUCAGGCGCGACAGCGUGGGGAGCAAACAGG
rnacentral:rRNA from 1 species